rnacentral:rRNA from 1 species
GUCUAUGGCCAUACCACCCUGAAUGUGCCCGAUCUCGUCUGAUCUCGGAAGCUAAGCAGAGUCAGGCCUGGUUAGUACUUGGAUGGGAGA